rnacentral:rRNA from 1 species
AGAGUUUGAUCCUGGCUCAGGAUGAACGCUGGCGGCGUGCCUAACACAUGCAAGUCGAACGGAACUUCUUUGACAGAAUUCUUCGGAAGGAAGUUGAUUAAGUUUAGUGGCGGACGGGUGAGUAACGCGUGAGUAACCUGCCUUUGAGAGGGGAAUAACUUCCCGAAAGGGAUGCUAAUACCGCAUGAUGCAUAGAAGUCGCAUGGCUUUUAUGCCAAAGAUUUAUCGCUCAAAGAUGGACUCGCGUCCGAUUAGCCAGUUGGCGGGGUAACGGCCCACCAAAGCGACGAUCGGUAGCCGGACUGAGAGGUUGAACGGCCACAUUGGGACUGAGACACGGCCCAGACUCCUACGGGAGGCAGCAGUGGGGGAUAUUGCGCAAUGGGGGAAACCCUGACGCAGCAACGCCGCGUGAAGGAUGAAGGUUUUCGGAUUGUAAACUUCUUUUAUUUAGGACGAACAAUGACGGUACUAAAUGAAUAAGCUCCGGCUAACUACGUGCCAGCAGCCGCGGUAAUACGUAGGGAGCAAGCGUUAUCCGGAUUUACUGGGUGUAAAGGGUGCGUAGGCGGCUUGGUAAGUCAGAUGUGAAAUGUAUGGGCUCAACCCAUGCACUGCAUUUGAAACUAUUGAGCUUGAGUGAAGUAGAGGUAGGCGGAAUUCCCUGUGUAGCGGUGAAAUGCGUAGAGAUAGGGAGGAACACCAGUGGCGAAGGCGGCCUACUGGGCUUUAACUGACGCUGAGGCACGAAAGCGUGGGUAGCAAACAGGAUUAGAUACCCUGGUAGUCCACGCUGUAAACGAUGAUUACUAGGUGUGGGGGGUCUGACCCCUUCCGUGCCGGAGUUAACACAAUAAGUAAUCCACCUGGGGAGUACGACCGCAAGGUUGAAACUCAAAGGAAUUGACGGGGGCCCGCACAA